rnacentral:rRNA from 1 species
CACGUAGGGGCCAAGCGUUGUCCGGAUUUAUUGGGCGUAAAGAGCUCGUAGGCGGCUCGGUAAGUCGGGUGUGAAACCUCCAGGCUCAACCUGGAGACGCCACCUGAUACUGCUGUGGCUAGAGUCCGGUAGGGGAGCGUGGAAUUCCUGGUGUAGCGGUGAAAUGCGCAGAUAUCAGGAGGAACACCGAUGGCGAAGGCAGUGAUCUGGGCCAGUACUGACGCUGAGGAGCGAAAAGCGUGGGGGAGCGAACAGG